rnacentral:rRNA from 1 species
UACGAAGGGGGCUAGCGUUGCUCGGAAUGACUGGGCGUAAAGGGCGCGUAGGCGGCGAUGUAAGUCAGACGUGAAAUUCCUGGGCUCAACCUGGGGACUGCGUUUGAGACUGUGUUGCUAGAGGAUGGAAGAGGCUCGUGGAAUUCCCAGUGUAGAGGUGAAAUUCGUAGAUAUUGGGAAGAACACCGGUGGCGAAGGCGGCGAGCUGGUCCAUUACUGACGCUGAGGCGCGAUAGCGUGGGGAGCAAACAGG